rnacentral:rRNA from 1 species
UACGGAGGGUGCAAACGUUGCUCGGAAUCAUUGGGCUUAAAGCGUGUGUAGGCGGAUCGUUAAGUACCUUGUGAAAUCCCACGGCUCAACCGUGGAACUGCUGGGUAUACUGGCGGUCUUGAGCCACCUAGGGGCAACUGGAACAAGCGGUGGAGCGGUGAAAUGCGUAGAUAUCGCUUGGAACGCCAACGGUGAAAACAGGUUGCUGGGGGUGUGCUGACGCUGAGACACGAAAGCCAGGGGAGCGAACGGG